UGACGGUACUUGACUAAGAAGCCCCGGCUAACUACGUGCCAGCAGCCGCGGUAAUACGUAGGGGGCAAGCGUUAUCCGGAUUUACUGGGUGUAAAGGGAGCGUAGACGGCAAAGCAAGUCUGAAGUGAAAUCCCGGGGCUCAACCCUGGAACUGCUUUGGAAACUGUAGUUCUUGAGUGCUGGAGAGGCUAACGGAAUUCCUAGUGUAGCGGUGAAAUGCGUAGAUAUUAGGAGGAACACCAGUGGCGAAGGCGGUUAGCUGGACAGUAACUGACGCUGAGGCGCGAAAGCGUGGGUAGCAAACAGGAUUAGAUACCCUG
rnacentral:rRNA from 1 species